GGGGUGGGUAUAUUAUAACGACAGAAUUUAAAACUAAAUAAAUAAUCAUACAGACGGUUAACAAUGUUAACUCACGUUAUGAUUCGCACCGGAUCGUGGCGUUUCGGGUUUCCGUCUUUCAGUUGAUGUACUGUCCACGGACGAUUUGUCUGGAUCCACUGGCAGUCGGAACUUAGGCGCUAUUUUUAUUUUGUGGUUUAAAAAACUUUAAAAUUUAACUCAUUUUGAAUUUUUG